AGUCGAGCGCGAAAGGGGAGCAAUCCCCAAGUAGAGCGGCGAACGGGUGAGUAACGCGUGGGUAAUCUACCUCCGAGUGGGGAAUAACAGCGGGAAACUGCUGCUAAUACCGCAUGACAUCGUCGAGCCUUCGGGCCUGACGAUCAAAGCCGGGGACCGCAAGGCCUGGCGCUUGGAGAGGAGCCCGCGUCCGAUUAGCUAGUUGGCGGGGUAACGGCCCACCAAGGCUCCGAUCGGUAGCCGGCCUGAGAGGGCGGACGGCCACACUGGGACUGAGACACGGCCCAGACUCCUACGGGAGGCAGCAGUGGGGAAUUUUUCGCAAUGGGGGAAACCCUGACGAAGCAACGCCGCGUGGAGGACGAAGGCCUUCGGGUCGUAAACUCCUGUCGACCGGGACGAACGCUAUUGGGCCCAAUACGCCCGAUAGUCGACUGUACCGGUGGAGGAAGCCACGGCUAACUCUGUGC
rnacentral:rRNA from 1 species